CCUACGGGUGACAGCAGUGAGGAAUAUUGGUCAAUGGACGAGAGUCUGAACCAGCCAAGUAGCGUGAAGGAUGACUGCCCUACGGGUUGUAAACUUCUUUUAUAUGGGAAUAAAACGUUCCACGUGUGGGAUUUUGUAUGUACUAUAUGAAUAAGGAUCGGCUAACUCCGUGCCAGCAGCCGCGGUAAUACGGAGGAUCCGAGCGUUAUCCGGAUUUAUUGGGUUUAAAGGGAGCGUAGGUGGAUUGUUAAGUCAGUUGUGAAAGUUUGCGGCUCAACCGUAAAAUUGCAAUUGAAACUGGCAGUCUUGAGUACAGUAGAGGUAGGCGGAAUUCGUGGUGUAGCGGUGAAAUGCUUAGAUAUCACGAAGAACUCCGAUUGCGAAGGCAGUUCACUGGACUGCAACUGACACUGAGGCUCGAAAGUGUGGGUAUCAAACAGGAUUAGAUACCCUGGUAGUC
rnacentral:rRNA from 1 species